rnacentral:lncRNA from 1 species
UGAGAUGGAGUCUCACUCUGUCGCCCAGGCUGGAAUGCAAUGGCACAAUCUCGGCUCACUGCAACCUCUGACUCCCAGGUUCAAGCCAUUCUCCCUGCCUCAGCUUCCUGAGUAGCUGGGAUUACAGUCUGGGUGACAGAGAAAGAUCCUGUCUUAAAUAAAUAAAUAAAUAGUUGUAUCGCAUAUAUGGAGGAAAGAAAUGAUAAAGAAGAAAAAUUACAAGGUUACUAAUGAUUUCUUUUCAGCUAAGCUUUUGGUAAUGCUCAUCUUUUAAUGUUCUUUGGGCAAACACAAAUCAAACAAUUUUUACAACUGUUAUUAAUAUGCCUAAAGCAGUAUAGCAAAACAUUUUUCAUAAAAAAAGAGCAUUAUAAAAUCCUUAAAUAUUUAGGAUAGUUAUACACUUCAACUUCUCUAUUUAAGGGGUGGAGAAGAUGGAGAUUGAUGGAACAUGCCUAUUUUCUGA